UGGGGAAUUUUGGACAAUGGGCGCAAGCCUGAUCCAGCCAUGCCGCGUGAGUGAAGAAGGCCUUCGGGUUGUAAAGCUCUUUCGCGAGGGAAGAAAAGCCAUUUAAUAACACUAGGUGGCGAUGACGGUACCUUGAUAAGAAGCACCGGCUAACUACGUGCCAGCAGCCGCGGUAAUACGUAGGGUGCGAGCGUUAAUCGGAAUUACUGGGCGUAAAGCGAGCGCAGGCGGUUUUGCAAGUCUGAUGUGAAAGCCCCGGGCUCAACCUGGGAACUGCGUUGGAAACUGCAAGGCUAGAGUGUGUCAGAGGGAGGUAGAAUUCCACGUGUAGCAGUGAAAUGCGUAGAGAUGUGGAGGAACACCGAUGGCGAAGGCAGCCUCCUGGGAUAACACUGACGCUCAUGCUCGAAAGCGUGGGGAGCAAACAGG
rnacentral:rRNA from 1 species